rnacentral:rRNA from 1 species
AUGGGCCUGGAGGACCGGCCUGGGGAGGCCCUGGAGGGUGGGGUCCGGUUCCACCUGGUGGGCCUGGGUUUCCUGGUGUCCCUGGUUCUUGGGGGCCUGGGUUCGGUGGAUUCUUCAGAUCCUGCUUCUAUCUCCUGUGCUGCUGCUGCCUGCUCCAAGAUUGCUGCGGCCCUCUCUUCGGACGACCGGGCCCUGGCGGCCCGCCACCCCCUUUCUGAUAGCCUGCGGAGCUUCUGGCUACAAGAAACAACUCAUUCGACCACAAUUCCUAAAUAUGUGUGGAAGAACCCACUCGUGUGGAGAUAUUACAUCUUGGUACUAUGUAAACAUUAUUGA